UACGUAGGGGGGCGAGCGUUGUCCGAAUUUACUGGGCGUAAAGAGCGCGUAGGCGGGUUCUUAAGUGAGAGGUGAAAAGGUUCAGGGCUCAACCCGAACAGUGCCUUUCAUACUGGGAGCCUUGAGUGUGGGAGAGGCGAGUGGAAUUUCUGGUGUAGCGGUGAAAUGCGUAGAUAUCAGAAGGAACACCCAUGGCGAAGGCAGCUCGCUGGCCUACAACUGACGCUGAGGCGCGAAAGCGUGGGGAGCAAACAGG
rnacentral:rRNA from 1 species